AUUUUACCGCGGCUGCUGCACCCCGUAGGGAGUUUACCGCGGCUGCUGCACCCCGUAGGGAGUUUACCGCGGCUGCUGGCACCAGUCUUGCCCACCACUUAUUCUCCAAGCUAUUUACACUUGACAAAAGCCUAUACUAAAAGUAUAAGCACUUAGGCUUCCCAUGUCACGCUUUCGCGCAUUGCAAAGAUUUCCCACCUGGUGCACCCCGUAGGGAAUC
rnacentral:rRNA from 1 species